CAUACAGAAUGUACAGAGGCAAUUCUGGAAAAAGGAAAGCUAUGCUAAAAACUCACAAUUUUUUUUCUCCAUGCUGAUUUCAUUUCUGUUGAUUAAAUUAUUUCAAAGUUGACUUACUGCUUUUGAGCAGCAAGAGUAAGAUAAAUAUUAUCUAUUUCAUACUUACAGACUGUAGCUGUUAUUGUGCUUUAUUCCUAGACAUGAAUAUUAGCUGCCUGGUUUUGCUAUCAAUCUUGCUAUCAAUUUUUCUUGUUCAUUGAACAAAGAUUCUUUCAGGCUUACUGCAGAUGCAACUGGUUACAAUUUUAGAUCCUUAUCUUUCAUCCAAAAGAGCUUUAUCACACAGUCCCAUCUAUAUUUAAAAAUCUGAAAUAUAUCAGCCACCUUCCUAACACCAUAUGAACACUCCUUUCCAGAUUGUGAUGCUUUUGAGAACAGAAUAGAAGAACUUUUCAUUUCUUCAGAACUGGCUCCAGUGCAGAAGCUAAUAAGAUUUUUAUUUCUCUUCUUGAGUCUUUUGCUUCAAGGGUCACAAAACAAUCAGAUAGCAAAGUAUAAUUACCAGAUGAGGAAAAAUAAACAACAAAUAAUUUCAUUAUGACUGGAUUCAUACCAUUGACUUCAGAGAGAUUACUCAUGAGCACAAGUAAAUGUAAAUAAGAUUACAAAGCCAGAUUGGAAACACGCAGUCUCCUGAUUGGACUGUAAUCUUAGCAUAGUAAAAUUCUAAGACAAAAUGACAAAUUUAUCUUGUAGUCCAACACAAAAUUUAUCCCAUUUCAGGUCAGCAGCUUUGUGCAGUGCAAGGCCACUUGCUCUUUCCUUUCCUGAGGAGAAAACCUACUUCAAGUCACAUUUUCAUUACUGCAGCUGGGGAGAAAGGACAGAGCAAAGGGAGAUUUCUGAGCCUCCUGAAGACAUCCUGAGGUCUAAGUGGAACAGAAAACCAGAGAGGAUAAUGAGAUUCAUCCCUUCAAACUGGCACAAACAACGUUCAUGUGGCACAUCACCUGGAACCUCGCUGGCUUUGACAGCACCUCAGGAGUCCUCCAGUGCUGCCCCAGAGCUGCCCUUUCCCUGCUCCCCUUGCACAGUGCUCAGUGACCACCUCCUGCAGCUCCCUGCUGGCCUUGGCAUCUCACAGGUACGAGCUCACUCCCCACACAUGGGGCUGUUAUUAUUGUAAGCUGCAUAACUUAAAAUAAAGUAGAGCUUGCUCUUCUCAUCAUCACAUCAGAGAAGGAUGUGAGUAGACCUGGGUGUCAGGGCAGGGAGCUGAGCUGAGGAUCCUCCUUUACAUUUUUCCCAGCUUUUUUUCCUGUUCCUUCACCUGUAAAAUGGGAGUGAGCAGUGGAGCUGUGAAGGAAAGCAAACAUGAAAAUCAGAUGAGCCAUUGCCAGAAUAGCUCCUGAGUACCAAAAAUUCUCAAUGUGCAUGAGGCCCCCAAUAAACAAGCCCUGAUGCUCAUUCAUUUUUUAUUUGCUUUCUGUAGUAGUACCUUGGAGAAGACAUGUUUCAAGUCUUUGUACUUACAAAGCUGUGACUGCUGGGUGAUAUUUUAUCUCUUCUUGGUGACAAGCAUUUAUGGUCUUGACAAACAAAGGCUCAAAAUAGGCUCUGUGUCCUCUUUACAAAGAAAGCAUCUGAGGAGAAAAAACCCCCAACAAAGUAAAUAGAGGCAAGAGCUUUUUGAGCAUGGGAAUGCUCAUCUCUGUUAUGGUGAGCAUGCUGAGCUACAAGAAACUGGCAUAAAAAUCUCAAAAAGUAGGUUAAGACUCACAAGCAGCAGAACAAAUGCUUUCUGUUGCUGCAUCUAAGAAAACUGCUCCUAGCAAGGCUGUUUGUGCCUUGGUCAUCAGAAUGAUUUAAACAUGAAUGCUGAUACUGUCAAUCCAAAUGUACUCUGAAUUUAUUUUUCUAAAUAACAACACAACCCUCCCCCCACCAGUGGUGCUCAGAGAUCACAUGUAGGCUUCAGAUUAAGGAAAAUGAGGUUGUUUAAUAUUCUGCUGAUUCGAGAAAAACAGCACUGACAUGACUCACCUCUUUUUUCUCCCCAGAGAAUCAGUCCUUUCCAACACAAGUUUGGAUUUCUCUUUAUGUAACCAGCUCAUACAGCAGGCAUUCAGCUGUCUGUCAGAGAGAAAACAAACUAAUCAAAUCAUCCAUACCAUUUAUAUCGUUGCAUUAAAAAAAAUAAAUAUCAAGGAAUGUAAUAUCAAAUGGACAUGCAUUGACUUGGCUACGCAUCAAAAUAAAUAAAAUUUAAAAAGAAAUUGUUUUCUCAUCUGUGUUCCUUGUGUGGAUAUUUCAUUUUAAGAAGUAUUUUCCUGUAACUGAAUGGAUGACAAUUGCAGAUAUAUUUGCUAUUAAGCUAGAAAAUUUUCUACAUAAAUAUAAAAGGCUAGAAAUCCUCUGAGAGAGAACUAAAUAGAUCAGAUCACUGCACUUUCUGGGAAAAUGCUGAAAACUUGUUUACCACAAGACUGCUAUAGUGAGAAAAUAAACCAAACAAAAGGAGAGUCAUGUUUCUACUAAUAGCCAUUCUGAUCCUGCAAACAGUUUUGUUUGUGACACUUACAGAAUCAUAUGAAGUAGUAAAUGGAAACUUGUGGACAAUUUUUCAGGUGCUUUGUACCCACAGGUAGAACUAGGCUUAGUUUCAUUCCAAUUCCAUUCCAAUUUCAGAGGGAUUUACAAAUCAAUAUACUUGGAAUAUAUUAGUUAGUGCCUGCCACCAUCAACUUCUAUUUACCUCUGUGAAAAGGGUCCAGUUCUUUUGGUGUUGGUCUUUCAACACGAAGACAAGACUUUGCCUCACAUUUAUUUUUCCCUCUCUAGAGCCCUGCCCCAGGAGGAAUGCAGAGCCUGCUUUGAGGUAGAGAAGCACAAAGUGCCAUCAUCACCUCUGAAAUUUGAGAGUAAAGAAGUAAAAGACAUGCAGACAAUCCUACUUUUAACAUAAGAGGCAUUAUUUAGCAACAUAAGUUUGAAUAAUUCAACACAAGUUGUUUUUUUUUUUUCUUUUGGUAGCUGCUCUCCCAAACAUGAUGAUGGUUCAUUUUGGAAAGAACAAGGUCCAGGGGCAGCUCCAUCAGCUGGCACAAACCACACCAGGGAUUUAUCUCCAGACUGAGCCUCUUGAUGCUUGGUUUGCCAGGGAUGAGAGAAAAUGUAAUAAAGUGAAAACAACAAGGCCCUGUUUGACUGUUCUGUACCAGAUGAUAUUUUAAAUCCAAAGGAAUUCUAUAAAAUGUCCUCCACAGAGGCAACCAGUAUGGGAGCUGGUUAAAAAUACAUCCCUUUGAUUCUCUGUGCUUCUAUAGCUACUAAAGAUGUCUUGGAGAUAUUUUCUUGGGUUGAAAAUAUUUUAAUAUAUUCCGUUUUAUACAAAUGCUUAAAUCUGAUAUGAAACUUCCCAACCUUACAUUUUAAACAUGAAAUCAGUAUCAUUCUUUAUCUCAGAAGGCAGCUAUUGAUUAGUGCAAACAGACUUUCACAGAAUUCACUAGAAACCAUCAGCAUUUUCUAGCAUGACCUAAAAGCUAUAUAGAGAAAAACCAUUUAAAACUUGCUACUUCCUCUCCUUUUAGGACUAAAAAUAGAUCUGGCUCAUUAUCUCAUACCUUAAUGUAUUCCAUGGCACGAUGACACAGCUUAGAUUAAACCUCCACAUGCUUCUUUUUCCUUAGGAUCUACCUUACACACAGCAAGAAGGGACAGUGCCCAUUGAACCAGAGACUCCUUGAUAUCUUACUUUAAACCCUUUUUUGGGUUCUGCUCUCAGGACAAUAUUCCCACUUGCUGUUGGAUGCUGCAGCUCACCGCAGAUGUCACCCCAACAGCCACACUCAGGCCUCCCUCAAAUAGAAUCUUGGAUGAAUUUUCUCAUCAAGCUCCACCCUUAAAUCUAUGCCCAAAAACUUUUUUCUUCCCCCCAAAGAUCAGUGAGUUAACCAACUCUCAGGGACACACAGCCCAAGUGGCUCCCAAAUCAGAUGUAUGCACAUUUAACUUUGAAAUUCCUGCUUAAAGAAAAGCCACAAGCACACAUCUUAGUGUGAUAGACGUGAUAAAUUUGAGUCGAAUCCCCCCAAAACACACCCAAGACAUAACCCCACAUAACUGCUUUGUUUGCCCCUGCUUUCAGAAAUGGUCAAACCCCAUUUUCUUUAUUUAAGAGCAGCAAAAUGUUUUCCACAUAUUUAUGUGAAAAAAGAGCCAGGCUCUUCUCAGUGGUGCCAAGUACUAGAACAAGAGGCAGCAGUGAAAAACUGAUGCUUAGAAAGUUCCACCUGAACGUGAGGAAGAACUUUGUUGCACAGGUGAGGCUGUGGAGUUUCCCUCCACUGGAAAUACUCCAGACCUGUCUGGACACAAUCUUGUGCCCUCUGCUCUGGGAUGACCCUGCCUAAGCAGAGAGGUUGGGACAGGUGACCCCACUGUAGUUCCUUCCAACCUGAACCUGUGCUUCUGUGUAUGAAAGAUUGCAUUGAUGGGAAAUUUUCUGAUACAAAGGUUCAUCCAUAAAAUUUUACUUACUUGCACGUGUCUCAAAACAGGAACUUCCCCCCCCCCCCCCCCCCCCCCCCCCCCCCCCCCCCCCCCCCCCCCCCCCCCCCCCCCCCCCCCCCCCCCCCCCCCCCCCCCCCCCCCCCCCCCCCCCCCCCCCCCCCCCC
rnacentral:lncRNA from 1 species